rnacentral:lncRNA from 1 species
CUUUAUUUCAAUACAAAUUAACAGACUUCCACGAUCCACCUUCCCGUCGCCGGUGAUGCAGUGGGACCCGCCUGUGGAAAUUUCAGGGGAAACCCUGGAAGAAAAUCCCACCAAAACGACUUACUGACCGACCGCCGGACCCCCCCCCGCCUCCCCAUUGGCCGGGCUUCCGUGACGUCACACCCGGCUCGCCGUGACGACACAUCCGGUUCUGCCAGACUGGGGCGAUGCGGCUGCUCUCUGAUCCGAGUCCCUGGUGUCUCGGUUCGCGUCUCGUCACGUGUGAAAUGUCGCCCAUAGAGACGUCUGGGACAGUUGAAAUGUUCCCUAAAACCCUUGUGACUCUGGGCUCUGGGGACAGGAGCUCCCCACUGUGAGUCUCCCAGUGACGUGCGCGCUUUCCAUCACGACCACAAGAGGGCAGCG